AUGGCUGGAGUGGUGCGCCUAUGGAACGAGUGGGAGGUCCAAAUCCUAAUGCUUGCAAGCUUCAUGCUGCAAGUGUUCCUGCUCCUAUUCGCAGGGAGGCGUCGGCAGAACAUCUCCGUCGUCCCACGGACCCUCCUAUGGCUAGCAUACCUCCUGGCUGACUCCACAGUGAUAUACAUACUCGGCCACAUGUCAAUUUGCAGCAAGUCCCACGAGAAGCAACAGCUCAUGGCGUUCUGGGCGCCGUUCUUGCUGGUGCAUCUCGGUGGCCAGGAUACCAUCACCGCCUACUCCAUAGAAGACAACCAGCUGUGGCCGCGCCACCUGCUCUCUCUGGUGGUGCAGGCAUUAGGAGUAGGUUAUGUCUUCUACAAGUAUGUCGCUGGUAGCUGGACCUUGUUCACAGCCGCAGCUCUGGUAUUUGUGGCCGGUGUUCUUAAGUAUGGCGAGAGAGUAUGGGCGCUCAGGAACUCCAAGCUGGACAGCAUCAGGAAGUUCCUUGAUGAGGUUGAGAAGCCGAGGGUGGUGAAGGAGGCUGAACGAGAAGAAGAACGGCCCUACCCUCUGCCUGCACAGUGGGGCGAAGAGGAUAAGUUAGCUUCUGAAGAAGUACUGCAGGGAGCACAUGAUCUAUUACCCAUUUGCAUGGGUCAGUUUGUCGAUUAUAAGUUCUUGCCGUCCCGGUUGCAGAUUCAAGCCAACUGCCGAUUCAAGCGCAAGGGGUGCUUGUAUGAGCUGAUCGAGAUGCAGCUCUCCUUGAUGCACGACGUCCUGUACACCAAGGCGGCGGUGGUCUUCACAUGGUAUGGAUGCUCCAUCCGUGCGAUAUCAUUGGUUGCCACCAUCAGUGCUUUCUUCCUAUUUCAAUCAAGCAUUGGCAAGAAUGACUUCAGCAGAGGUGAUAUCAUUGUCACAUAUAUCUUAAUAGCUGGGGCUGUCCUCCUAGAGAUGACAUCAUUGUUGAAGGCAAUGGGUUCAACAUGGGCAUGCACAUUGUUGCGUGCUAGAAGAUGGGUUCGGCUUCAUAGCAUGGUCGUAUCUGUUCGACAACAUGUCAGGGCUGCGGAAAGAAAUAGAAGAUGGUCAGGUUUUAUUGGACAGCCCAGGCCGUCCACUGGCAUCGGACAUGGACAGGACAGGGGUGGCUGGACCCGGGAAGUUGCCAAGUGGUUUGAAUUGAAGCACUGCAAAGAUUUGUGGAAGAAGCUGCACCGCUCCUUACCUGUCAUUUCAUAUGGUACUAAGGAGUUGGUGAUGAGACAUGUAGCAAGAAUGGUGGAGGAAUGCCAUGGCCAAGAGGAUGUCAUGAGGAGUUACAGUGGUCAGUGCGCGCUGAGUCGAUGGCAGGUAACCUUUGAGGAUCCCACCUCACGCGCUGGCAUUGAUUUUGAUGACAAAAUCCUUGCCUGGUACUUUGCCACCAAAAUGUUCUUCCAAUUUCACGUGGAACCAAGGCAGCUAGAGCCAGUUGUGGAGGCAAUCGAUACGCUGUCCGAAUACAUGAUAUUCCUCCUUUUGGAACGUCCGUACAUGCUGCCUAGCCCUGUUCGCCCCGUACCAUAUGCCAAUGCUGAAGCAGCAUAUCAAAAGCUUAAUUUGCAUUGUGUGGUGGGUUCCUUUAUUAAGCGCAUCACAAGAAUGGCGGAGCUGGACAAAAGAAGAGAGGAGCUGGAGAAAACAAAGAGGGAUCGAUGGCAUGCUAGAGAGCUGAAAAAAAUAAGGGAGGAGUUGGAAACAAUAAGGGAGGAGGUGCAGGUGCUGGAGAGAGGAAAGGAGAACCUGCUUUCGGUACGUUUACAUCCACCCGCCUUAGUCCGUGGAGCCGAGAUUGUUGAAAGGCUGAUAUAUAAUGAUGCGCGGGACCUGGACAACAUGGCGGUCGGGACGGUACUGCUUGGGGUGUGGGUGGAGAUGCUGUGCUACGCGGCGCACCACUGCAGCAGGGAUUCACACGCCAGGCAGCUCAACAAUGGCGGUGAGUUCAUUACCAUUGUCUGGCUUUUGUCAACUGCCAUUUUCAAUGGAAACUACAUCAGGUGA
rnacentral:rRNA from 1 species